rnacentral:tRNA from 1 species
GCCGGGCUGGCGAAACUGGCAAACGCGGCGGACUCAAAAUCCGCUGGGCCCCAAGCCCUUGGGGGUUCGACUCCCCCGCCCGGCACCA